CCUACGGGCGGCAGCAGUGAGGAAUAUUGGUCAAUGGACGAGAGUCUGAACCAGCCAAGUAGCGUGAAGGAUGACUGCCCUAUGGGUUGUAAACUUCUUUUAUAUGGGAAUAAAACGUUCCAAGUGUGGGAUUUUGUAUGUACCAUAUGAAUAAGGAUCGGCUAACUCCUUGCCAGCAGCCGCGGUAAUACGGAGGAUCCGAGCGUUAUCCGGAUUUAUUGGGUUUAAAGGGAGCGUAGGUGGAUUGUUAAGUCAGUUGUGAAAGUUUGCGGCUCAACCGUAAAAUUGCAGUUGAAACUGGCAGUCUUGAGUACAGUAGAGGUGUGCGGAAUUCGUGGUGUAGCGGUGAAAUGCUUAGAUAUCACGAAGAACUCCGAUUGCGAAGGCAGUUCACUGGACUGCAACUGACACUGAGGCUCGAAAGUGUGGGUAUCAAACAGGAUUAGAUACCCGAGUAGUC
rnacentral:rRNA from 1 species